GACGUAGGAUGCAAGCGUUGUCCGGAUUUAUUGGGCGUAAAGAGUUCGUAGGUGGUUUGUUAAGUCUGAUGUUAAAGACUGGGGCUCAACCUCGGAAAUGCAUUGGAUACUGGCAGACUUGAGUGUGGGAGAGGCAAUCGGAAUUCCAGGUGUAGCGGUGAAAUGCGUAGAUAUCUGGAAGAACACCGGUGGCGCAAGCGGAUUGCUGGGCCAUAACUGACACUGAGGAACGAAAGCUAGGGGAGCGAAUGGG
rnacentral:rRNA from 1 species